rnacentral:lncRNA from 1 species
CAGUUUUUUAUUUUUAUUUUUCCAAACGGUGCAUGGAACCCUAAGGACGUGGGUUCGAACCUGACAUGUGUAAUGUUUAUUUUUUCUCACUUGUAAAAUGUUCAUUUUUCUUCAUAACUUCAAAUAUCCAUAACUUCAUGAUCCCUUAACAUUUUUGACCCACUCUUUUUACCAUGUGCUCAUGAGAAUGUUUAUUUUAU